rnacentral:rRNA from 1 species
UGGGGAAUAUUGGGCAAUGGGCGAAAGCCUUACCCAGCAAUGCCGCGUGAGUGAAGAAGGUCUUCGGAUUGUAAAGCUCUUUGAUCAGGGACGAACACAAUGACGGUACCUGAAGAACAAGCCCCGGCUAACUACGUGCCAGCAGCCGCGGUAAUACGUAGGGGGCAAGCGUUGUCCGGAAUGACUGGGCGUAAAGGGUGUGUAGGCGGGCUCGCAAGUUGGAUGUGUAAUACCCAGAGCUUAACUCGGGUGCUGCAUCUGAAACUACGAGUCUUGAGUGUCGGAGAGGUAAGUGGAAUUCCUAGUGUAGCGGUGGAAUGCGUAGAUAUUAGGAGGAACAUCAGUGGCGAAGGCGACUUACUGGACGAUAACUGACGCUGAGGCACGAAAGCGUGGGGAGCAAACAGG